rnacentral:rRNA from 1 species
AGCAAUUAGGAAUCUUGCGCAAUGGGCGAAAGCCUGACGCAGCGACGUCGCGUGAAGGAUGAAAUCUUUCGGGGUGUAAACUUCUUUUACCAGGGAAGAAUAAUGACGGUACCUGGUGAAUAAGCCCCGGCUAACUACGUGCCAGCAGCCGCGGUAAUACGUAGGGGGCGAGCGUUGUCCGAAGUUACUGGGCGUAAAGAGCGCGUAGGCGGGUUCUUAAGUGAGGGGUGAAAGUCCGAGGCUCAACCUCGGAACUGCCUUUCAUACUGGGAACCUUGAGUGCGGGAGAGGCGAGUGGAAUGGUCGGUGUAGCGGUGAAAUGCGUAGAUAUCGAUCGGAACACCCAUGGCGAAAGCAGCUCGCUGGCCUGUAACUGACGCUGAGG